rnacentral:rRNA from 1 species
GACGAACGCUGGCGGCGUGCUUAACACAUGCAAGUCGAGCGAUGAAAGCCUUAUGAACUAUUCGUAGUGAUUGAGGCCGGAUUAGCGGCGGACGGGUGAGUAACGCGUGAGCAACCUGCCUUAAACAACGGGAUAGCCUCGGGAAACCGGGAUUAAUACCGUAUGAGACCCCGCCUUCACAUGAAGAAGAGGUUAAAGAUUUAUCGGUUUAAGAUGGGCUCGCGUCUGAUUAGCUAGUUGGUGAGAUAAAAGCCCACCAAGGCAACGAUCAGUAACCGGCUUGAGAGAGUGAACGGUCACAUUGGAACUGAGACACGGUCCAAACUCCUACGGGAGGCAGCAGUGGGGAAUAUUGCACAAUGGGGGGAAACCCUGAUGCAGCGACGCCGCGUGAGCGAUGAAGGAAUUCGUUUCGUAAAGCUCUGUCCAAGGGGAAGAUAAUGACAGUACCCUUGGAGGAAGCCCCGGCUAAAUACGUGCCAGCCGCCGCAGUAAAAC